rnacentral:rRNA from 1 species
UACGAAGGGGGCUAGCGUUGCUCGGAAUUACUGGGCGUAAAGGGUGCGUAGGCGGGUUAUUAAGUUGGAGGUGAAAGCCCAGGGCUCAACCUUGGAAUUGCCUUCAAAACUGAUAGCCUAGAGUAUGAUAGAGGUAAGUGGAACUCCGAGUGUAGAGGUGAAAUUCGUAGAUAUUCGGAAGAACACCAGUGGCGAAGGCGACUUACUGGAUCAUGACUGACGCUGAGGCUCGAAAGCGUGGGGAGCAAACAGG